CCUACGGGAGGCAGCAGUGAGGAAUAUUUGUCAAUGGGCGCGAGCCUGAUCCAGCCAAGUAGCGUGAAGGAUGACUGCCCUACGGGUUGUAAACCUCUUUUAUAAAGGAAUAAAGUGAGGCACGUGUGCCUUUUUGUGUGUACUUUAUUAAUAAGGAUCGGCUAACUCCGUGCCAGCAGCGGCGGAAAUACGGAGGAUCCGAGCGUUAUCCGGAUUUAUUGGGUUUAAAGGGAGGGUGGAUGGGUUGUUAAGUCAGUUGUGAACGUGUGCGGCUCACCCGUAAAAGUGCAAUUGAUACUGGCAGCCUUGAGAACAGUUGAGGUAGGCGGAAUUCGUGGUGAAGCGGUGAAA
rnacentral:rRNA from 1 species